GCCGCUACUGCGCAUGCGCAGACAUGCACACACAGUUCAAAACAAUCGGAACUUAGGUCUGUUUUAGAUAUUUGUGAUUAAACAUCAUAAACAUCAACCUCGCGUUCGUGUUUAACCCCGACACGCCUUCAGCAUCAAUCUUUUCCUCUCCGGAAGCUGAAAUCUAAAGCGGGCUGAAUGUGGCAUGGACAUGUACUGCGCUGUGAGAGACGAUCCAUCUGAUGCGGCCAGACAACAGGAGAGACACUAUUACCUGCUUUCAGAGCUGCAGACGCUCGUCAAGGACCUGCCCAGCUCGUUUCAGCAGCGUCUGUCCUACACCACGCUCAGUGAUCUGGCUCAGGCACUCAUCGACGGGACGGUGUAUGAAAUAGUGCAAGGGCUGCUGGACAUUCAACACCUGACGGAGAAAAACCUCUACAACCAGAGACAGAAGCUACACAGCGAGCACAGAGCUCUCAAGCAGGAUUUGGUUCGGAAGCACAGACAGUCUCUGCAGACGUGCAAGUCUCACAAUCUGUCCGUUCUGAAAACCACCCAGAAAGCAGAAGCUGAGGCUCUCGAUCAGCGGGUGAAAGAAGAGCAGAGGAUGAUGGACGAGAAGGUCGUGGCUGAGAUGGAUCAGAAGGUUCUAGAUCAGCAGAACACGCUGGAGAAAGCAGGCGUGCCGGGUUUCUACAUCACCACUAACCCACAGGAGGUGAUGAUGCAGAUGAAUCUGCUGGAGCUGAUCCUGAAGCUGCAGCAGAAAGAGACAGUAUCUGGAUCUCUGCUCUGAAGACGUGAAAGAAGGACCCGUUUUAAUCUUCAGAUCUCUGGGAUCUUCAGGACGAGAGAAAAUCACAGACGUGGACUUCAUCCCAUUUGGAGCGGCAUGUCAAAGCCGUGCACCUGUCCUCCUGCACAGAG